CUAUUAUGGAAGAAAGUUUAGCAGAAGAAAUCAUGCAACCUUACUAGAGUGUGAGCAAUAAAAAAGCAUUAAUUUGCUUUUAAAUCCUAUUCAACCCACAAGCCAUGAAUAGUAAAUCUCAUCUGUAUUUCGUGUGACAAAGGCUAGUGUUUUGAUAAGGUUAAGGUUGAACAUACUAACUACAAAAAUAUUCUUUAAUUUACUUACUAUUUUGUAUUGUCAAUUAUAAUUCUUAGCUCAGUUACACCUACUAUUUGAUCCCAUAUGCAACUGAGGGAGAUGUUUUUGUAUCAGUGAUUUAUACCUUAUAUCUAAUGAACAAUUAAGGUUUCAAUAGCAACACAUAUCGCCCCCC
rnacentral:lncRNA from 1 species